UCCCGCUUAGCUCAGCGGUAGAGCGCGUCACUAGUAAUCUCCUCAUGAUUAUAUUUCUAUGUUGGAUUCUUUCCACCUUGGGAAUGACGAGGUCAGUCGUUCAAAUCGGCUAGUGGGAA